GGCCAUGUAGUGUAAAGGCGAGCACAUUUCCUUUGCAAGGAAAUAGAGGGGUUCGAAUCCCACAUGUGUCCA
rnacentral:tRNA from 1 species